AUAUCUCUCUGUACGGGAAGGAUGAGAAGCUUCUACCAGGGUUCGAUUCGAGCGCAGCGAGAAAGCGUUG
rnacentral:sRNA from 7 species